UGUAGUCAAAUAGAUCGUAAAAAUGAUCCCUUUUAUAUACGUUAGAACUAUCCUUAUUUUGUGUGUAAAAUUACAAUAGGUAAAAUGAUCCCCCAUCAUGUGGCGGGUCUUGAAUGUAUUGAUUUAGAUGAUUUCAACAAUGAUUU